GACGUAGGGUGCAAGCGUUGUCCGGAUUUACUGGGCGUAAAGAGCGCGUAGGCGGCUCGUUAAGUGAGAAGUGAAAGCUCUGGGCUCAACCCAGAAACCGCUUUUCAUACUGGCGAGCUGGAGUGAUGCAGAGGUGGAUAGAAUUCCCGGUGUAGCGGUGAAAUGCGUUGAUAUCGGGAGGAAUACCCAUGGCGAAGGCAGUCCACUGGGCAUCAACUGACGCUGAGGCGCGAAAGCGUGGGGAGCGAACAGG
rnacentral:rRNA from 1 species